CCUACGGGGUGCAGCAGUGGGGAAUAUUGCACAAUGGGGGAAACCCUGAUGCAGCGACGCCGCGUGAAGGAAGAAGUAUUUCGGUAUGUAAACUUCUAUCAGCAGGGAAGAAAAUGACGGUACCUGACUAAGAAGCCCCGGCUAACUACGUGCCAGCAGCCGCGGUAAUACGUAGGGGGCAAGCGUUAUCCGGAUUUACUGGGUGUAAAGGGAGCGUAGACGGCAGCGCAAGUCUGAAGUGAAAUGCCGGGGCUUAACCCCGGAACUGCUUUGGAAACUGUGCAGCUAGAGUGCAGGAGAGGUAAGUGGAAUUCCUAGUGUAGCGGUGAAAUGCGUAGAUAUUAGGAGGAACACCAGUGGCGAAGGCGGCUUACUGGACUGUAACUGACGUUGAGGCUCGAAAGCGUGGGGAGCAAACAGGAUUAGAUACCCGUGUAGUC
rnacentral:rRNA from 1 species